rnacentral:rRNA from 1 species
ACAGCAGUCGCCGCGGUAAUACGAAGGGUGCAAGCGUUAAUCGGAAUUACUGGGCGUAAAGCGUGCGUAGGCGGUGAGUUAAGUCUGCUGUGAAAUCCCCGGGCUCAACCUGGGAAUGGCAGUGGAUACUGGCUCGCUAGAGUGUGUCAGAGGAUGGUGGAAUUCCCGGUGUAGCGGUGAAAUGCGUAGAGAUCGGAAGGAACACCGAUGGCGAAGGCAAUCCCCUGGACCUGUACUGACGCUCAUGCACGAAAGCGUGGGGAGCAAACAGGAUUAGAUACCCCGGUAGUCCCUGUCUCUUAUAC